rnacentral:rRNA from 1 species
GACGAACGCUGGCGGCGUGCUUAACACAUGCAAGUCGAGCGGACAGAUGACGAGCUUGCUGCUCUGACGUUAGCGGCGGACGGGUGAGUAAUACGUGGAUAACCUACCUCUAAGACUUGGAUAACUGCGGGAAGCCGGAGUUAAUACCAGGUAAUAUUUUGAACCGCAUGGUUCAAGAGUGUAAGACGGUUUUGCUGUCGCUUAGAGAUUGAUCCGCGCGGUAUUGGCUUGUUGGUGGGGUAACGGCUUACCAAGGCGGCGAUGGGUAGCCGACCGGAGAGGGUGUUGGGCCACACUGGAAGUGAGCCGCGACCCAGACACCUACGGGCGGCAGCAGCAGGGACGCGUCGGAAAAGGGGGGAAGACUGAAGGAGGAGCGCAGCGUGGGUGAAGAAGGUCUUCGGACGGUAAGACGCUGUUAUGGUUGAAGAACAAAUGUGUACGUGACUAUGCACGUCUUGACGGUAGCUGGUCAAGAAGCCACGGCUAACUACGUG